GCAUAGCCAGCGCAGAGCAUCUGCACACAUUUCCCCCUGCACAAAAGAGGAGCAGCUCAGCAAGCUUGGCCUGGGCCAUGGAAGGGAGCACACCAACAUCUGGACCGACCCCAAACAAGCUGGUUCUGCAGGUUGGUUGUCUUCUGCUGUUGUCUCAUGACCAGUUGCUCAUGGGAAGAUCUGUUCAUGUUCAGAGCUAAGGGGAAACUCGCACAGCAUUGUCUUUGCUCAGGAGGGCAGGUGGUGAACCUCAUGAAGCAAUGCCUGCAGAUAUGCUUUGUGGAGAAAGAGGUCCUGCAGGCCUUGUGUGACAGCCACAGAGCUGUAGCGAGGCUGCAUCCGUGUAAAACCCCAGAAAUCCACGGAGGUGUGAAGGUGAGCUGUGGGCUCCCGUAAUGCAGGAGGCGAUGUGUGCAGCGUCUGAUGCACGAACUCUCAGACGUGAACAAUCCCAGGUGUUUAUUACAAGUUCUCACAUCGCUUACAGACCAUCACAAAUUUUCUAGCAUUCUAGCAUUCUAGCAUUGCCAUCCACCCCUCCAACUUCCACAUCCACCUUGACGUGCCAGCAGAGCAUUCUACAAAACAUUCUUCAACCGUUCAUGCAGACGCUUAUCCAAUCAGAGCCGUGAAAUAGAUAUGUGCUGUACCCUGCCCUUGAAUUAAAAAAAAAGGUCUCUAGUAUGGAUUUUACAUAGGCCCUGCCCAGCAAGGUACGCUGCUGGGAGGAAAUGUCCAUCUGCCCAAGGGUAGGAAGGCCCUCCAGAGGGACGGACUGAGGCCAGUUGUAGGAGGCUCAACAAGAGCAAGCGCCAGGUCCUGCGCUUUGGACACGACAACCCCGUGCCAGCUUCUCCAGGAUUCGGCUGAGCUUUUGCUCGUGGAAGAUCAGAGCAAAGUGACAAGGAACGGCUGCAGAUUCAAGGGAUUUCUCUACCUCGUUCUGAUCUCUUGCCAGGUACGUGCCAUGCUUUGUCCCCCACAUGCUUUAGCAGCCCGUGUCGC